UCCCUCUCAGAGUCACAACUGGAGAGUUCCCAGUACUCUACCAAUCUCAACUGUGGGAGGGAGAGUCAAGCAGAGGCCUACCCAUUCCAUUCCUAGCUUGAGUAGAGGCUAGUGAGUGGAAGACAAUCUGCUACAAGU